rnacentral:rRNA from 1 species
GACGAACGCUGGCGGCGUGCUUAACACAUGCAAGUCGAACGGUGACGGAGAGCUUGCUCUCCUGAUCAGUGGCGAACGGGUGAGUAACACGUGGGCAACCUGCCCCAGACUUCGGGAUAACGCUUCGAAAGAGGUGCUAAUACCGAAUACGAACGCCGUGGGCAUCCACGGUGUUGGAAAGUUUUUCGGUCUGGGAUGGGCCCGCGGCCUAUCAGCUUGUUGGUGAGGUAAUGGCUCACCAAGGCGACGACGGGUAGCCGGCCUGAGAGGGCGACCGGCCACACUGGGACUGAGACACGGCCCAGACUCCUACGGGAGGCAGCAGUGGGGAAUAUUGCGCAAUGGGCGAAAGCGUGACGCAGCAACACCGCGUGAGGGAAGACGGCCUUAGGGUUGUAAACCUCUUUCAGAUGGGACGAAGGUGAUGCGGUGAAUAGCCGAUGUCAUUGACGGUACCGUCAGAAGAAGCUACCGGCUAACUACGUGCCAGCAGCCGCGGUAAU